rnacentral:rRNA from 1 species
AUUCCAGCUCCAAUAGCGUAUAUUAAAGUUGUUGCAGUUAAAAAGCUCGUAGUUGAACUUCAGACCUGGUCGGGCGGUCCGCUUAACGGCGUGUACUGUCUGACUGGGCCUUACCUCUUGGUGAGCCGGCGUGCCCUUUAUUGGUGUGCGUCGGGGAACCAGGACUUUUACCUUGAGAAAAUUAGAGUGUUCAAAGCAGGCCUAUGCCCGAAUACAUUAGCAUGGAAUAAUAGAAUAGGACGUGCGGUUCUAUUUUGUUGGUUUCUAGAGUCGCCGUAAUGAUUAAUAGGGAUAGUUGGGGGCAUUGGUAUUGAGUCGCUAGAGGUGAAAUUCUUGGAUUGACUCAAGACCAACUACUGCGAAAGCAUUUGCCAAGGAUGUUUUCAUCA